UCUAAAUCUGAAGAUUAUGGUAAACUUGUAACAUUAAAACAAAAGUUUUGAACAUUUUUAGCACCCAAAAUAUACGUCAUGUCCGCCGAUGUGCGACAGGCUUUCCUGGCGAACCCCACAUGUCUGGCAGACCGCAUUUUUUUAGCGCACUGAUUUAUUGACUUUUUGAUCCUUGCCUGGAAGAUACAUCAUGAAUAAAUCCAAGAAAAGGAAACAUUCUGAAGAUGGCAGAACAUUUAAUGCUACGUGAACAGAUCAUUUUGCUUCACCGCUGAUGAAACUGGUUUACCUUCUGCUUAAUAUGUGGCGACAGACUGGCAAACAACAAGAAGUCAAAUGUUGAAAGACAUUUCGAGAGCAAACACUGUCUUUGCUAAAAAAUAUCCUGAGGGAGAGGAGAGAAAAAAAAAUUAAACCCAGUGCUGCCUGGUUCUUUGUUUAGAUCAGCCUUGUUUCUGUUUCACCUUAGUCCACUUCUUCUGACUGAUUCUAUGAUAAUUAUGUUUAUUUAUUCCCUUUGUUUAGUUAUUCUUUGCUACAGUUAGUUUCAUCUUUCUACUUCCUGUGUUUACUCUCACCUGAAGCCUGUUAGCCAAUCAGCUCCGGUGUUUUGCUCACUAUUUAAACUCGUCUCUCUUCUCGUUGGAUCUUCAUGUUGCUUCCCUGGUUUCCUCCUUCUUGCACUCGGCUCCUGUUUUGUUCCAACUCCCUGUGUUCCCCAUGUUUUUGUUGUUUUUUCAUUAAAUAUAUCAAAUCUUCUAUCUGCUUCAUCUACAUGUGUUUGUGAAUUCAUCACCAUGACGUCACUGUAAGCAUCUGUGUGUAACCAGGAUAAUUUUUCUAUACUAGAUUUAGUUUUUUUAUUUUUUAUUUUGUUAGAUUUAAUGUAUUUUUAUUUAAAAGUUUAAUUAAAAUCCCCCUUUCUUUAAUCUAUUUAACACCAACCAGGCGAGAACAACAUUGUUCUCGCCUGGUUUGACGUCAUGUGACAGCUGCAGGUCAGCGUCCUAAAUUGACCUCUACGGCUUAUAUGGCUGCUAACCGCACCUUCGGUAGGAAACGCUGUCGGACCCUGACGUACAGACGGGCGAUUAAUCAACCGAACGUUGUAAAGGUCACGGUAGGUCAAGAGGGAACUGGUGAGUGUUUGCUCGGGAGCUAGCAUGCUAGCACUAGUCUCCCCAGCCUGUUGUAAUUAUACACCGAUCUAAAGCACAUUCAAAUUGAAAUGCUUACUGAAACUAUUGUUGUGUAAAAAUACUGUUUUGCAUAAGUUGCAUUUAAUUAUUAUGUAAACUCCUGCAAUUCUAAGAAAAUCCAUGUAAAUUGAUUAUUUAGGCCUGUUUACCAGGCCAGGUGUAUUGCAGAUCCCUGCUCACUGAUUGGCUGAAGGGUCUGGAAUACAGCAAGGAUCGUCUGGCUUCAUGCUGACCAGACUGGCCAGCUAAACGUUUCAGCGGAUCCGGAAAUACAAAACCUAUUAUCUGAGGAAACUCUUCUGAACUGGUUGGAGAUUCAGCCCAACAAGUCUUCAUUGAAGGAACUGGAUUAUUAUUAAUAUUUUGUUUUUCCCUUUCAUCAUCAACAAAGACUGGUUGACUGCCUUGGUAUAAGGAACUCUUUUGGACUCUAAAUUGUGGACUAACUUGUAUAUAUUGUAAAUAUUAAUACAACUCACCAAUUUUUGCACCAUC